ACUACAUUUUGUUUGACACAUGUCAUUGUCCCAUGUGACGUAGUAGGUCAGGUUGCCGCCAAAACUUGGUCGGAUCUUGUACGAACGUCUGCUAACCUGUCUGUGAAGAUGAAAGUUCUUUACAUACUUUCCCUCGUUCUGCUUGCCGUCUGCACUGUGUUGGCGGGAAAAUCAGGUCUAAAGCGCCAGGCCAACUACGCCGAGUGCCUUAAAGAUUGCGGUGAUGACAUCCCGUGCUUAAUGAGCUGUUCGAUUAGGUUCCCUAGUUAGCUGCUCGAUGACGUCAUGUAGCAGUUCAGCAACGGAUGUGGAUCUCAAGACUUUCCAGCUAUGCUAUACACA